rnacentral:rRNA from 1 species
UUGGAGGGCAAGUCUGGUGCCAGCAGCCGCGGUAAUUCCAGCUCCAAUAGCGUAUAUUAAAGUUGUUGCAGUUAAAAAGCUCGUAGUUGAAUUUCGGGAUCAAUUUAUUGGUCGUGCUAUUGUACGUACUGGUAUUAUUGAUUUCUACCUUCUGACGAACCAUGAUGUCAUUAAUUUGGUGUCUUGGGGAAUCAGGACUGUUACUUUGAAAAAAUUAGAGUGUUUAAAGCAGGCUCACGCUUGAAUACAUUAGCAUGGAAUAACGAAAUAGGACGUUUGAUUCUAUUUUGUUGGUUUCUAGGAUCGACGUAAUGAUUAAUAGGGAUAGUUGGGGGCAUUGGUAUUCAAUUGUCAGAGGUGAAAUUCUUGGAUUUAUUGAAGACUAACUACUGCGAAAGCAUUUGCCAAGGAUGUUUUCAUUAAUCAAGAACGAAAGUUAGGGGAUCGAAGACGAUCAGAUACCGUCGUAGUCUUAACCAUAAACUAUGCCGACUAGGGAUCGGAUGAUGUUAAUUUUUUAAUGACUCAUUCGGCGCCUUACGGGAAACCAAAGUGUUUGGGUU